rnacentral:rRNA from 1 species
CCUACGGGAGGCAGCAGUGGGGAAUCUUCCGCAAUGGGCGAAAGCCUGACGCAGCCAUGCCGCGUGAAUGAUGAAGGUCUUAGGAUUGUAAAAUUCUUUCAGCAGGGACGAUAAUGACGGUACCUGCAGAAGAAGCCCCGGCUAACUUCGUGCCAGCAGCCGCGGU